UACGGGGGGGGGGCAAGCGUUGUCGAUUUAUGGCGUAAAGAGCUCGUAGCGGCUGUCGCGUCGAACUGUGAAAAAAACCGCAGCUCAACUGUGUGUCUGCAGUCGAUACGGGGGCUGCUGGAGUUCGGUAGGGGGAGACUGAAAAAUUUUUCUGUGUAGCGGUGAAAAAAUGCGCAGAAUAAUCAGGGGGAGGGGGAAAAAACAACCCCCUGGGGGCGAAAAAGGGGGCGGGGGCUCGUGGGG
rnacentral:rRNA from 1 species